CGGGUCGGGUAAUGCCAGGCUUUCCAGGCAGGGUUCGGUUCUGAAUUCCCCUCCACCCUGGGCGGUAGCACGGGACCCCUUCCCGAGCUUCCGGCUGUUCUCGUGAGGUUUUCAGCCCCGCGAACCCACUCUCAGCUGCCGCACGGCUGGCCUCCCAGCGUCCAGGUGUCCGCUCCUCUGGGGAGACCGGCCAGGAGACGCUCUCCUCAGCGCUUGCCUGAGUGGGCAAGUCAGGCUCUGGGGCCGGCAGAAAUCCUCGUGUGAGGGCCCCCCGAGGGGCCUGGUCGCAGUGCUGCAGCUGAGCGCGGGGGCUGCUUGGGACUACUGCUCGGGCGCUGCAGGUUGCUGAUGUGGAGUAGAAGUUGACACAGCAGACAGCUAUUCUGGUGGGUCAUUUCCUUUCAACAUUGCCCGUCAGUUCAUGGAGUCUUGGUGCGCCGCACUGCUGUCCCUCAGUAAAGCAUCCAAAGAUCAAAGCCAAGAGAUAGAUGGCAGUGGAUGUGAACUUCAGCACACAUGUGGUAAGUUUUAUCCCUACAACCUUUAAGACAACAUGGAGAAUCAUAAGCUGAUCGCUAUUUUAAUUAAGUUUUUAAUGUUUAAAGAACAAGCAAGAGUGCUAGGUACAUAUAGGCUUCUGAUAGAGCAGUAAGACAUUUCUCAGUCUUAUCCCAUUCACUAUUUCUCACUCAUAAUUUGGAUGAAAGUACACAAGCUACACAUCAGAUAUGUAGGAGAUUAGAGGAAUGACAAAUACUUUUAGAGGAGUGUAAGGACGUGAAAAUAUCAGGGCCCCUGAAGCAAUGGAUAAGAUAUAAC
ensembl:lncRNA